AGGGGGAGCAAGAUGAAGUCACAGACCCAGGUCCUCAUAUCCCUGCUGCUUUGGGUGUCUGGUGCCUGUGCAGACAUGGUAAUGACACAGUCUCCAUCCUCCCUGGCUGUGUCAGCAGGAGAGAAGGUCAACAUCAGCUGCAGGUCCAGUCAGAGUCUUUAUUACAAAGGUUAUUUAUUACAAAAUAACUUAUUGUCCUGGUACCAGCAGAAACCAGGGCAAUCCCCUAACCUGCUGGUCUACUGGGCAUCCACUCAGCAAACUGGGGUCCCUGAUCGCUUCACAGGCAGUGGAUCUGGGACAGAUUUCACUCUCUCCAUCAGCAGUGUGCAGGCUGAAGACCUGGCAGUUUAUUACUGUCUGCAGAGUGUUAGUACUCCUCCCACA